rnacentral:rRNA from 1 species
AAUGGGCGAGAGCCUGAUCCAGCCAUCCCGCGUGCAGGAAGACGGCCCUCUGGGUUGUAAACUGCUUUAGACUGGGAAGAAAAGUAUGGUUUUAGUCAUAUCUGACGGUACCAGUAGAAUAAGCACCGGCUAACUCCGUGCCAGCAGCCGCGGUAAUACAGAUGGUGCAAGCGUUAUCCGGAAUCACUGGGUUUAAAGGGUGCGUAGGCGGCCAUGUAAGUCAGUCGUGAAAGCUUGUUGCUUAACGAUAAAAUUGCGAUUGAUACUGUGUGGCUUGAAUAUGGAUGAGGUAUGCGGAAUGUGACAUGUAGCGGUGAAAUGCAUAGAUAUGUCAUAGAACACCGUUUGCGAAGGCAGCAUACUGGGCCAUUAUUGACGCUGAGGCACGAAAGCGUGGGGAUCAAA